rnacentral:sRNA from 1 species
UGCCGUGGCAGGUGAUCAUGUUACAGCUAAGCUAAGGGUGAUGAGUGUUUAUCCUACUCUGCUGGGAGCCAUCAGCAGCUUUCAGCAUCAUGACUAUUUGUCACCAGUGUUCUUCUUAAAUGCCCUGGCUAAUGUAAAGAUGACAUCUUCUCCAGGGACUUGCGGGACUUACAAAGGUCUUUGGAGUUCUAUAGAAAAGAACUCUGCUUUCCAUGAAACAAGCCCAAGCUUACAACAGGUCCUGAUUUCCAUAGGAGACAUAUUGCAACAAUGUCUGACUUCAUGGAACCAACCAACCAUUCACCCCUGAAGAUAGAAAAAUGGAAGAAAUACAUGCAAUGGACUCUUGCUCUGUGUGAGCAAGCUAUAGACAUUUCUGGAGAGAUAUGCAGGAAUUGCAUCUGAUGAGAAUCACCAGGAGUUGGUCCCUCUGUUCUGCCAUUGGUCAAAAAUCUGCACCACUGGACAAUACUUUCAUUAUUUUACAUUGGUGAUUCAGCCAAGCUUGAUGACAACCAGACAGACAGAUCAUUUCUUAUCCAAUAGUGCCAGAAUAUCACUUUUUAAGGCAUUCUUGUCAGGUAACAGCUCACAAGGAGGCUCUUCAAUGAUGGUAGACACAGUAGUUAGAAUUUUUGAUUUCUGACUAUCAUGAGGUGU